rnacentral:rRNA from 1 species
GCCGCGUGUGUGAUGAAGGCUUUCGGGUCGUAAAGCACUGUUGUAUGGGAAGAAAUGCUAAAAUAGGGAAUGAUUUUAGUUUGACGGUACCAUACCAGAAAGGGACGGCUAAAUACGUGCCAGCAGCCGCGGUAAUACGUAUGUCCCGAGCGUUAUCCGGAUUUAUUGGGCGUAAAGCGAGCGCAGACGGUUGAUUAAGUCUGAUGUGAAAGCCCGGAGCUCAACUCCGGAAUGGCAUUGGAAACUGGUUAACUUGAGUGUUGUAGAGGUAAGUGGAACUCCAUGUGUAGCGGUGGAAUGCGUAGAUAUAUGGAAGAACACCAGUGGCGAAGGCGGCUUACUGGACAACAACUGACGUUGAGGCUCGAAAGUGUGGGUAGCAAACAGGAUUAGAUACCCUGGUAGUCCACACCGUAAACGAUGAAUACUAGGUGUUAGGAGGUUUCCGCCUCUUAGUGCCGAAGCUAACGCAUUAAGUAUUCCGCCUGGGGAGUACGACCGCAAGGUUGAAACUCAAAGGAAUUGACGGGGACCCGCACAAGCGGUGGAGCAUGUGGUUUAAUUCGAAGCAACGCGAAGAACCUUACCAGGUCUUGACAUCCUUUGAAGCUUUUAGAGAUAGAAGUGUUCUCUUCGGAGACAAAGUGACAGGUGGUGCAUGGUCGUCGUCAGCUCGUGUCGUGAGAUGUUGGGUUAAGUCCCGCAACGAGCGCAACCCUUAUUGUUAGUUGCCAGCAUUC